AUGUGUUUAUACAUUUGUGUAGAUGUGUGUGUAUAUAUUCUUACAUCUACGUGUACAUACACACACACACACACACACACACACACACACACACAC
rnacentral:miRNA from 1 species